AGCGAACGCUGGCGGCAGGCCUAACACAUGCAAGUCGAACGAACUCUUCGGAGUUAGUGGCGGACGGGUGAGUAACACGUGGGAACGUGCCUUUUGGUUCGGAAUAACUCAGGGAAACUUGUGCUAAUACCGAAUGUGCCCUUCGGGGGAAAGAUUUAUCGCCAUUAGAGCGGCCCGCGUCUGAUUAGCUAGUUGGUGAGGUAACGGCUCACCAAGGCGACGAUCAGUAGCUGGUCUGAGAGGAUGACCAGCCACACUGGGACUGAGACACGGCCCAGACUCCUACGGGAGGCAGCAGUGGGGAAUCUUGCGCAAUGGGCGAAAGGCUGACGCAGCCAUGCCGCGUGAAUGAUGAAGGUCUUAGGAUUGUAAAAUUCUUUCACCGGGGACGAUAAUGACGGUACCCGGAGAAGAAGCCCCGGCUAACUUCGCG
rnacentral:rRNA from 1 species